rnacentral:rRNA from 1 species
ACUCAAAUGAAUUGACGGGGGCCCGCACAAGCGGUGGAGCAUGUGGUUUAAUUCGAUGCAACGCGAAGAACCUUACCUACCCUUGACAUCCUGCGAACCUGACUGAGAGGUUGGGGUGCCGCGAGGAACGCAGAGACAGGUGCUGCAUGGCUGUCGUCAGCUCGUGUUGUGAGAUGUUGGGUUAAGUCCCGUAACGAGCGCAACCCUUGUUCUUAGUUGCCAUCAUUAAGUUGGGGACUCUAAGGAGACUGCCGGUGAAGAACCGGAGGAAGGCGGGGACGACGUCAAGUCAUCAUGGCCUUUAUGGGUAGGGCUACACACGUGCUACAAUGGGGCGUACAAAGGGUAGCGAACCCGCGAGGGGGAGCCAAUCUUAUCAAAGCGCCUCGUAGUCCAGAUUGGAGUCUGCAACUCGACUCCAUGAAGUUGGAAUCGCUAGUAAUCGCGAAUCAGCGACGUCGCGGUGAAUACGUUCCCGGGCCUUGUACACACCGCCCGU